rnacentral:misc_RNA from 1 species
GAUGAAGAACGCAGCGAAAUGCGAUAAGUAAUGUGAAUUGCAGAAUUCAGUGAAUCAUCGAAUCUUUGAACGCACAUUGCGCCCGCCAGCACUCUGGCGGGCAUGCCUGUUCGAGCGUCAUUUCAACCAUCAAGCCCCCAGGGGCUUGUGCUGGGGCCCUGCGGCUGCCCGCAGGCCCUGAAAACCAGUGGCGGGCUCGCUAGUCACACCGAGCGCAGUAGCACAUCUCGCUCAGGGCGUGCGGCGGGCUCCUGCCGUGAAACCCCCCACUGUAACCCCAAAGGUUGACCUCGGAUCAGGUAGGAAUACCCGCUGAACUUAAGCAUAUCAAUAAGCGGUGGA